GACGAACGCUGGCGGCGUGCUUAACACAUGCCAGUCGAACGGAAAGGCCCUGCUUUUGUGGGGUGCUCGAGUGGCGAACGGGUGAGUAACACGUGAGUAACCUGCCCUUGACUUUGGGAUAACUUCAGGAAACUGGGGCUAAUACCGGAUAGGAGCUCCUGCUGCAUGGUGGGGGUUGGAAAGUUUCGGCGGUUGGGGAUGGACUCGCGGCUUAUCAGCUUGUUGGUGGGGUAGUGGCUUACCAAGGCUUUGACGGGUAGCCGGCCUGAGAGGGUGACCGGCCACAUUGGGACUGAGAUACGGCCCAGACUCCUACGGGAGGCAGCAGUCGGGAAUAUUGCACAAUGGGCGGAAGCCUGAUGCAGCAACGCCGCGUGCGGGAUGACGGCCUUCGGGUUGUAAACCGCUUUCGCCUGUGACGAAGCGUGAGUGACGGUAAUGGGUAAAGAAGCACCGGCUAACUACGUG
rnacentral:rRNA from 1 species